CGUACGUAUGGACAAAUGAACAUUUGGUGGAAAUUAUGUAAAACUUGGCACCAUAUGCUGUGUAAAUUUAUGAAACGUGAAACGCCAUUGCUUUGUGAAGGGAGGGGCAAAUGUGUAAUUUUAAAGGUAGCAGGGAGUAAAGCGGUUCGGUCGGGGGAUGAAUCGGAAUCGGAUGAUGCAGUUUCUUCUCCUCUGCGUCAAAUUGGCUCUGCGGAUUGGAUUUCCCCGAGGGCGAAGACGAUCCCUCUCACGAUCGGACUCCUCAUCGUCAUCCCAAGGCCUUUUCCGCAAUUUGAAUUCCCAGACCUGCACAUGGGCAACUGCGUCGUUAAGAACCAAAAAGAUGAUGAUUCAGACAACCAAGUUGAGUUUUCCGGUGGAAACGUUCAUUUGGUAACAACAAAAGAGAGCUGGGAUCAGAAGUUGGCAGAAUCUAGUCGUGAUGGCAAAAUAGUCAUUGCAAACUUCAGCGCCACAUGGUGUGGUCCAUGUAGAAUGGUGGCACCGUUUUACAUCGAGUUGUCAGAGAAAUACCCUUCUCUGAUGUUCCUUCUAGUAGAUGUUGAUGAGCUCAGUGAUUUCAGCUCAUCAUGGGAUAUAAAGGCGACACCGACCUUCUUCUUCCUGAAGAAUGGAGAGCAAAUAGGCAGGCUUGUUGGAGCAAACAAGCCAGAGCUACAGAAGAAAAUAACAGCUAUCGUUGAUUCAGCGCAGCCACAGUGAUUGUGGGUAUUCAAAAGCCUUUGAAUCAAAUGAAGCGAGACAAGAUCUACAAAUUAGAUCACCUGGGAGGCAAUGAAACGACAAAAAAAGUCCAUGAAGGGGAAGCUCUGAAGGGAUGAACGUACGAGAUGGUUUGGACAUGUUAUUGCUGGUUCGCAUUUGUCCUUCUGCAGUGUAGUUCAGAAACACCCAUAAAGAACAGUUGAAGAACUGGCCCUUCUGAGCCAUAUCCAGCCAAGAAAAUGUGGAGUUCCAUUAUAAGAACCUUCAGACGGCUUUUUUCUCUGUUUUUCAGUUAUCUAAACCAUUUUUUUAAAUCUCGAAGACGUUUUCUUUA